CGCACCUGUCUGAUGCUGUGUAGCUAAUGCUCGUUGAAAAUAUAUUUUCAGAACUGAGUACCAGUGGAGUUUCCAGCAAUGAUUUGGUGUGGCUUUAGGUAACAACCUGUCUGGUUUGGAAAUUUAUGAGCAGAGGAUGCGAGACGAUUAGACAAGAAUGACCAGAUUUCAGAAAAAAAGCACCUGUCAUGAAGACGUCCACCUCCUGUACCUCCUUAACCUACCCCUGGACGCUACACAGUAUCUUUUAAAUACUGGGCAGGUAGCAAAUGCACGUAAUGCACUCCAUGCACCUCAAAGACUUAUUUUAUUGUCCAUUUUAUUGUGGUCAACAGACCGUCAGAGAAGCCCUCUCCAGUGAGAAGCUUGUUUGCGCGGGCUCCCUAACAUGGUGAAGACUGGCUACGUGAACUCCACCCUGCAAGGCCUGCUGGCAUUGACUCAUUUCUUGCUGGAGGUCCACAAUCAGCACAGGGUUUGGAGCUUUCAGCCCCAGUCCAAGUUUCUCAGGACGCGUAUGAGUUCCUCCACUGUGUGCUGAAUGAGAUGAGGUCCGUGGCUCUGCAACAAGCAGUCAGCAGUGCAUUAAUCAUCCAGCUCCAGAGAUUCAGAUCAACCCAGCCCAGCAAUCUGACUAGACUGGACGAUCGCAUCAAUUUGUGAAGAGCGCCGGUGCUGAAUUUUGACGCCAACAUCACUGGACAGGUAUCUCAAUCAACCAGAGAACCAGAGAACCAGUCAAGGCAGACUGCCGCUGCCAAGAGUCUGCUCUGAUGUUUCUGCCCAUUAAAUGGCAGUUUUUCCUCACCACUUUCACCAAG